GACGAGCACGCACAGGGCCCCUGUUCGAGUCGUCUCGCUCGCACCGGGGCGGCGCCGACCGCGAACCCUAGCUAGGCGCUGGUGGCGGGCCGGCCGCCUCUCACGUCUCUGGCAGUCCGGCAGUCCGACGACGCGCUCAAUCCCCUCCACAGCUCCACUCCACGGUGACCUCCAGCCCCUGAUCGGAAUGUCACGGGCGAGUCCCCUGCACAGCCAUGGCACACUUUGAUGUUGUUACUGAUUGGAAAAGGAGAGUCCAUUCAAUUUUAGUUUAUGUCAUAGUUGUUUCAGAAUUUCACUUCACGUGUGUGUGAACUACUGAAUUGUAAGUCUGUGAUGGCGUGAUGGCAUGUCGUUCCUGAGGUGUGAAAUGUUCUAUCUUGGCAUGUUGCUAUUGGCCAACUAUAUGUAUGUUUGGUGUUGUACAUCUCCCGCUAAUCUGUUAUGUACUUAUAUCAUCUCUUCAUUCUGUGACUUCACAGAAUAUAUUGUCCUGUGAUUUUGUGACUAUACA